AGUGGUAGUUGGUGGAGAAAGGAGGGUAAGAAAUGUAAACAUGUUUACACUUCUUGCCCUCCUUUCUCCACCAACUACCACU